rnacentral:rRNA from 1 species
AACGCUAGCUACAGGCUUAACACAUGCAAGUCGAGGGGCAGCAUGGUCUUAGCUUGCUAAGACUGAUGGCGACCGGCGCACGGGUGAGUAACACGUAUCCAACCUGCCGUCUACUCUUGGACAGCCUUCUGAAAGGAAGAUUAAUACAAGAUGGCAUCAUGAGUCCGCAUGUUCACAUGAUUAAAGGUAUUCCGGUAGACGAUGGGGAUGCGUUCCAUUAGAUAGUAGGCGGGGUAACGGCCCACCUAGUCUUCGAUGGAUAGGGGUUCUGAGAGGAAGAUCCCCCACAUUGGAACUGAGACACGGUCCAAACUCCUACGGGAGGCAGCAGUGAGGAAUAUUGGUCAAUGGGCGAGAGCCUGAACCAGCCAAGUAGCGUGAAGGAUGACUGCCCUAUGGGUUGUAAACUUCUUUUAUAAAGGAAUAAAGUCGGGUAUGCAUACCCGUUUGCAUGUACUUUAUGAAUAAGGAUCGGCUAACUCCGUGCCAGCAGCCGCGGUAAUACGGAGGAUCCGAGCGUUAUCCGGAUUUAUUGGGUUUAAAGGGAGCGUAGAUGGAUGUUUAAGUCAGUUGUGAAAGUUUGCGGCUCAACCGUAAAAUUGCAGUUGAUACUGGAUAUCUUGAGUGCAGUUGAGGCAGGCGGAAUUCGUGGUGUAGCGGUGAAAUGCUUAGAUAUCACGAAGAACUCCGAUUGCGAAGGCAGCCUGCUAAGCUGCAACUGACAUUGAGGCUCGAAAGUGUGGGUAUCAAACAGGAUUAGAUACCCUGGUAGUCCACACGGUAAACGAUGAAUACUCGCUGUUUGCGAUAUACGGCAAGCGGCCAAGCGAAAGCGUUAAGUAUUCCACCUGGGGAGUACGCCGGCAACGGUGAAACUCAAAGGAAUUGACGGGGGCCCGCACAAGCGGAGGAACAUGUGGUUUAAUUCGAUGAUACGCGAGGAACCUUACCCGGGCUUAAAUUGCAGAUGAAUUACGGUGAAAGCCGUAAGCCGCAAGGCAUCUGUGAAGGUGCUGCAUGGUUGUCGUCAGCCCGUGCCGUGAGGUGUCGGCUUAAGUGCCAUAACGAGCGCAACCCUUGUUGUCAGUUACUAACAGGUUCCGCUGAGGACUCUGACAAGACUGCCAUCGUAAGAUGUGAGGAAGGUGGGGAUGACGUCAAAUCAGCACGGCCCUUACGUCCGGGGCUACACACGUGUUACAAUGGGGGGUACAGAGGGCCGCUACCACGCGAGUGGAUGCCAAUCCCCAAAACCUCUCUCAGUUCGGACUGGAGUCUGCAACCCGACUCCACGAAGCUGGAUUCGCUAGUAAUCGCGCAUCAGCCACGGCGCGGUGAAUACGUUCCCGGGCCUUGUACACACCGCCCGUCAAGCCAUGGGAGCCGGGGGUACCUGAAGUGCGUAACCGCGAGGAGCGCCCUAGGGUAAAACUGGUGACUGGGGCUAAGU